UGGUGGAGUGAUUUGUCUGCUUAAUUGCGAUAACGAACGAGACCUUAACCUGCUAAAUACCUCAUGUUGCUUCGGCAGCAUGCUGGGUUCUUAGAGGGACUAUCGGCUCAAGCCGAUGGAAGUUUGAGGCAAUAACA
rnacentral:rRNA from 1 species